rnacentral:rRNA from 1 species
UACGUAGGUGACAAGCGUUGUCCGGAUUUACUGGGCGUAAAGAGCGCGCAGGCGGUCGAUCAAGUCGAGUGUGAAAGCCCCCGGCUCAACUGGGGAGGGUCAUUCGAUACUGUUCGACUCGAAGGCAGGAGAGGGAAGUGGAAUUCCCGGUGUAGUGGUGAAAUGCGUAGAUAUUGGGAAGAACACCUGAGGCGAAGGCGGGUUGCUGGGCUGAUACUGACGCU